rnacentral:tmRNA from 1 species
CUGCUUGAAUUCUCGCCCCACCGCCUCUAUCUCAGGGAUGCCGUCCUUGUGGCGGCUAAGGUGCUAAACCGGCUGUGCAAUAGACGAACCGGACGCGGUUUCGAAACCGCCACCUCCACCAGGAGUCCAUGGGCUCAAGAGCCAGACUGGCUCGGCAUGGGUUGCUGAUGGGGGUGAAAUGGGAUUGACGGGCGUUGAAAGACAGUUCGCUGUACUCGGCAUUGUACCACCGUUAUCGGGCUAAACUUGUAGUUGCAAACGACAACUAUGCGGAAGCACGUCUCGCUGCUUAAUGCGGUGCGAUAGCUUCAAAUUAAGUCCUAGUGGUUCGCACUUCUAGGCGGGGUUCGGAGGUACCUGGCAACAGAAACCUCCACU